rnacentral:ncRNA from 1 species
AGGAAUGCGAUGAUUAAGAUUAGUAAAUGAUAAUGGCUUGCUAGAGAGUGAAGUUCUAUGGCUGCAAAACUUCAUCAAGAUUCAUUUCAUUGAACCUACUUAGGAGUAGUUAGGCAAACCUAAACGUCAACCGUCGUUACCGGAAAAGAGUUGUAUAAUCACGCGCAUGUGCAGAUUAUAAUUGAACUAAGGUGGUACCACGGAAAAAACCUUUCGUCCUUUCA